GUGCCGUGCCAUCUCUGCCGUCUUUGGGCAGCGGCUGCGUGCUCAGCGGGCAGAUCCUGCCCCGCCCAACCAGUAAGUCUGCAUAUCUCUGAUUUUCAGAGGUGCAGUGGCUCGAGCUGGCUGAUUGGUGCUCCUGUAGCUGUUUGCGGGCUUUUUUUGGCUUGGUAUUAAAAGCUAGGUAGAAUUUCAUGAACAGAACUGUAUUUCCUGACUGGCUUCCAGAGGAUUCGUUCAUGCCUUAUUUUUCUUAGGAGUAUUUCUGGAUAUUGAUCUUCCAAAGAUUCAGAUGACUGGUUGGGCAAAAGACCUUGAGCAAAAUUCUGUACUGUGCGUGCCAGAUGUGUUGAGGAAUUGAUUUACUCACUGUAAGCAAAAUAGCUGCUCUUGGUUGAAGUACUGAAUCCAUUCAGAUGAAGAGUGUCAAAAGGAGUCUACGAAUGAGACACCAAGAUGGCAGUUCCACUGGGGAUUGAGAGGUUGAGGAAGUGGACUAAGGCUUGAGUGCUGGGAUGUCUGUCCAAGAAAAGGAUGUUAAAACGUGGACUCUCAUGUUAUUAACCAGAGAAGAUCUGGGUUGUGAUCAUCCUGUCAAAAUGGACUUUGCAUUUGAAUUAAUCAGUGGCUAUCCAAUGAUGGAUCUGUUUGAGGACUGGGUGGCAAAAUUUUCUUUUUGGGUUGUGUUUGCAUGACAGGCAAAUUAAUUUGGUAAAAGAUCUGUUGCUACCCCUUUUGAAAAAAAUGUAAUUUAUAAAGUGACUUUAAAUAAAAGGUUUUGUUUUAUUUCACACUUUGUGUUUGUCCUUUCUGGCUGAAUAUUUUUUAUUGUGUUGGUAUUGAUGUGGGUUACCUUUUUGGUUGCUAUUAAACUGAGAAAUAUUUUAGCUAAGUACUGAAGGCAAGGUAAAAUUUUGUGCUGUACUUGGUAUCAAAUGUGGUUUUCAUUUGCAAAUUAUGUUCAUUUUGCCAUGACUUCCAAUGAAUUUUUAUUCGCUGGCUUGUUCAUUCAGGUGCUUAAUAUGAGGAGUUUUCAGUACUUGGCCUAUUGUCAGGGCACUGCU